rnacentral:antisense_RNA from 1 species
UGUUAUGGCGGCUGUGCGUGGGAGACCUUCGGGUCUGCCGGUUCCUUGGCUCCCGGUUUACCACCCUGCGUACAGCUGCCACCCAU